rnacentral:rRNA from 1 species
GACGAACGCUGGCGGCGUGCUUAACACAUGCAAGUCGAACGGAAAGGCCCUGCUUUUGUGGGGUGCUCGAGUGGCGAACGGGUGAGUAACACGUGAGUAACCUGCCCUUGACUGUGGGAUAACUUCAGGAAACUGGGGCUAAUACCGGAUAGGAGCUCCUGCUGCAUGGUGUGGGUUGGAAAGUUUCGGCGGUUGGGGAUGGACGCGCGGCUUAUCAGCUUGUUGGUGGGGUAGUGGCUUACCAAGGCUUUGACGGGUAGCCGGCCUGAGAGGGUGACCGGCCACAUUGGGACUGAGAUACGGCCCAGAGUCCUACGGGAGGCAGGAGUGGGAAAUAGUGCACAAUGGGCGGAAGCCUGAUGCAGGAACGCCGCGUGCGGGAUGACGGCCUUCGGGGUGUAAACCGCUUUCGCCUGUGACGAAGCGUGAGUGACGGUAAUGGGUAAAGAAGCACCGGCUAACUACGUG